AGACAUUCUUAUUGCCAUUUUCGUUUGGGUUUUGUUGUAUAGUCUCUGUUCGUGUUAUUCUUCAGACAUUCUGUUCGCCAUUUUCGUUUUGUUGUAUAGUAUCUGUUCGUGUUGUUUCGUUUUGUUCUUCUGUCUCUGUUAGUGAUUUUUCUCUGUUCGGUCGAUUAGUUUUGUUGGUUUUGUUCGUUCGAUUUGUGUUGAAUGGCUGAUAAAAUGAAGACGUACGUAAAGAGAAAGAGAAUCACAGAGGAUGAUUCUGUAAAGGNNN
rnacentral:lncRNA from 1 species